rnacentral:rRNA from 1 species
UCGAACGCGAAAAUCCCGCAAGGGAUGAGUAGAGUGGCAAACGGGUGAGUAACACGUGGGUGACCUGCCUUCGAGUGGGGGAUAACGUCCCGAAAGGGACGCUAAUACCGCAUAACAUCCUGCCUUUUAAGAGGUGGAGAUCAAAGCUGGGGACCGCAAGGCCUGGCGCUGGAAGAGGGGCCCGCGUCUGAUUAGCUAGCUGGUGAGGUAACGGCUCACCAAGGCAACGAUCAGUAUCCGGCCUGAGAGGGCGGACGGACACACUGGGACUGAGACACGGCCCAGACUCCUACGGGAGGCAGCAGUGGGGAAUUGUUCGCAAUGGGCGCAAGCCUGACGACGCAACGCCGCGUGGAGGAUGAAGACCUUCGGGUCGUAAACUCCUUUCGAUCGAGACGAAUGGCCCCGGGGUAAAUAAUCCUGGGGAGUGACGGUACCGAGAGAAGAAGCCCCGGCUAACUCCGUGCCAGCAGCCGCGGUAAUACGGGGGGGGCAAGCGUUGUUCGGAAUUACUGGGCGUAAAGGGCUCGUAGGUGGCCAACUAAGUCAGACGUGAAAUCCCUCGGCUUAACCGGGGAACUGCGUCUGAUACUGGAUGGCUUGAGUUUGGGAGAGGGAUGCGGAAUUCCAGGUGUAGCGGUGAAAUGCGUAGAUUUCUGGAGGAACACCGGUGGCGAAGGCGGCAUCCUGGACCAACACUGACACUGAGGAGCGAAAGCCAGGGGAGCAAACGGGAUUAGAUACCCCGGUAGUCCUGGCCCUAACGAUAAAGGCUGGGUGUGGCGGGUAUCGAUCCCUGCCGUGCCAAACUAACGCAUUAAGCAUUCGCCUGGGGAGUACGGUC